UACGGGGGGAGCAAGCGUUGUUCGGAUUUACUGGGCGUAAAGGGCGCGUAGGCGGUCGUGACAAGUCACUUGUGAAAUCUCCGGGCUUAACUCGGAACGGUCAAGUGAUACUGUCGGACUAGAGUACAGAAGGGGCAACUGGAAUUCUUGUGUAGCGGUGAAAUGCGUAGAUAUCAAGAGGAACACCUGAGGCGAAGGCGGGUUGCUAGGCUGACACUGACGUGAGGCGCGAAAGCUAGGGGAGCGAACGGG
rnacentral:rRNA from 1 species